AGAAUUCUGCGCCAGUGGGGGGGGGGGGGGGGGGGGGGGAAAUUGAUUUGAAAAACACAAAAAAUUAAUUUUGAACUACCCUUGUUCAAUAGAG
ensembl:ncRNA F58D5.10 ncRNA